rnacentral:rRNA from 1 species
CUGCCCAAGAGACUGGGAUAACACCUGGAAACAGAUGCUAAUACCGGAUAACAACACUAGACGCAUGUCUAGAGUUUGAAAGACGGUUCUGCUAUCACUCUUGGAUGGACCUGCGGUGCAUUAGCUAGUUGGUAAGGUAACGGCUUACCAAGGCAAUGAUGCAUAGCCGAGUUGAGAGACUGAUCGGCCACAUUGGGACUGAGACACGGCCCAAACUCCUACGGGAGGCAGCAGUAGGGAAUCUUCCACAAUGGACGAAAGUCUGAUGGAGCAACGCCGCGUGAGUGAAGAAGGGUUUCGGCUCGUAAAGCUCUGUUGGUAGUGAAGAAAGAUAGAGGUAGCAACUGGCCUUUAUUUGACGGUAAUUACUUAGAAAGUCACGGCUAACUACGUGCCAGCAGCCGCGGUAAUACGUAGGUGGCAAGCGUUGUCCGGAUUUAUUGGGCGUAAAGCGAGUGCAGGCGGUUCAAUAAGUCUGAUGUGAAAGCCUUCGGCUCAACCGGAGAAUUGCAUCAGAAACUGUUGAACUUGAGUGCAGAAGAGGAGAGUGGAACUCCAUGUGUAGCGGUGGAAUGCGUAGAUAUAUGGAAGAACAC